rnacentral:lncRNA from 1 species
UAAAGUUUGGAGGGGCUGGAGAGAUGGCUCAGUAGUUAUGAGCACUGACUACUCUUCCAAGGUCCUGAGUUCAACUCCCAGCAACCACAUGGUGGCUCACAAGUGUCUGGUGUGGUAUUCUGGUAUGCAGAGUAUAUAUAUGUAGACAAAAGUACCCAUAUACAUAAAAGUCCUAAAAAAAUGUAUAUAUGUAUGUAUGUAUGUAUGUAUCUAUGAGUGUGUGUUUAUGUAUAUAUGUAUGUAUAUGUAUGUAUUUGUGUGUAUUCAUCUAUGUUUGUGUGUUUAUGUAUGUAUGUGUGUGUAUAUAUAUGUUUAUAUGAUAUGUGUAUGUAUGUGUGUGUGUGUAUGUAUGUAUGUUUGUAUAUAUGUAUAGUAUCUAGAGAAAAGAAAGGAAUCAUGAGACAUAGUACUCUCGUAUUUAUUUAAAUUAUGUUUUUUAAUUUCAACCCUACUGAAGGAUUCCGAGAGACUAAUGGAGCAACAAGGUGCAUUACUGAAACGUCUGGCAGAGGCCGACUCAGAGAAAGCGCGCCUGCUGUUACUACUGCAAGACAAGGACAAGGAAGUGGAAGAACUCCUCCAGGAGAUACAAUGUGAGAAGGCUCAAGCAAAGACAGCGUCUGAGCUCUCCAAGUCCAUGGAGUCCAUGCGGGGGCAUUUGCAGGCACAGCUUCGCUGCAAAGAGGCUGAGAACAGCCGCCUGUGCAUGCAGAUCAAG